rnacentral:rRNA from 1 species
GGUGAGUAACACGUGGAUAACCUACCUAUAAGACUGGGAUAACUUCGGGAAACCGGAGCUAAUACCGGAUAAUAUAUUGAACCGCAUGGUUCAAUAGUGAAAGACGGUCUUGCUGUCACUUAUAGAUGGAUCCGCGCCGCAUUAGCUAGUUGGUAAGGUAACGGCUUACCAAGGCAACGAUGCGUAGCCGACCUGAGAGGGUGAUCGGCCACACUGGAACUGAGACACGGUCCAG